CUCGCUGCUCAUAUUUGGCCAUAAAGUGAUCCCAGACCACAAAGAAGGUGACAGCCACGGUGAUCAGGAGAAGGGGAAGCGCCCUUCGAAAGUUGAGCACACAAGCUGCCGUCACCAUAACCAGGCUCAGCAGAUGAACUUCUAUCGGAGAAACGCCAAGUGUUGAAUGAAGCAGUCAUUGGCAAAAAGGCAGACGACAUCCACUCCACUCCUCCCUUCACAGCCAAACCACUUGAAAGAGUCGCUUCUCCUUUUGGGACCAUCCCCUCCCAUCCUGCGCACCCAGCCCACUGUGAGCAGCUGCCACUGAGGUGGUGUCUGCCGAGGCCACCCAAGGACUGUUGCCAAAUCCAGGAGCUAAUCCUCAGUCUUCAUAUUCCUGUUUAUGGCUGAUUUGUUUGAAUAGUGGAAGACCCUCCCCAAAGAACUUCUGCUAUACGUUUGAAAGGGAGAAGACCAGAGAAGUGUCCAGGUGCCCAAGGAGAAGCUAAUCCCUGGAGCCGUAACGGGACAUCGCCUGGACUCCUCACCCGGGGCCGGGCCAGGCACACAGCUCUGUGCUUCUGCACACUCUCCUGUACUCAGCCUUCCUUCCCUUGAUUCUCUAAGAUUUGUAUCCUUAUCCAUUUUUUAUUGCUGUGAAGCCAAAAAUUCAUAGAUAAAUGUCCUUUCUCCCCUUACUAAAAACCACUCUUCCAGCUGCACGUACUGGUUGCCAUGGUCUGAAUGUUUGUGUUCUCUCCAAAUUCGUUAUGUUGAAACCUAAGCCCCAAAGAUGAUAAUAUUAGGAGGUGGGGUCUCAGGGAGGUGCUUAAGUCAGGAGCGUGUCAGCAACCAUUAUCCAAACCAGUUAGCUGGGGAUGCUAUUUUCAUGCAGGCCAAGCCCAAAUUGAAAUCCAGGUGUGAGAUCUGCCUCUUUGUAUAGCAAAUACUGGAAUCCACAGGCAGAAAAAUCAUGGAAGAUGCCAGCAUGCAACUUUGAAUUGUUAUAUCAGCCAAAUGUAAACCUCAAGGCCCUGAAGUCCCAGCAUCUGAGUCUUUUCAAAGGACUUUAUAAAGUUUUUUUUCAAAUAUUUUGGUUCAUUCUGAUCCAUGUAUUAUUUAGUCAAAUGCAGUUCUUAAAAAUGUGUUAUAUGUUAUAAAGUUGUUAUUUGUGUUUCUGAUUAAUUCACAUUUAUUUAAUCAACACUCUUUGGAAAGAAGUGCUUGAUGACCAAGGUGUUUUUAGAAAUCCCCAAGAACAACUUCCCCUAUGUAAGCAGAUUCAAAUGCCUCUGAUGUAAUGAUGUAGCCUCUUUAAGGCCUCACUAUUAACUGCUCUGGCAUGAAAUAGCCCAGCUCAAAGUAGGACUAAUACUUAGUAAGUGCCUACAACUCCCCCAAAUAGCACAGGAAUAAGAUAGGCACAACCAACCCAGGCUUCAUCCUGCAGGUGGUCCAGGUUUUGACACCAAAUACAUUUUUAUAUACAAAAAACAAUCUAUAAUUACCCUGCAGUCUGAAUUUUGAUCCCUCCAGAUUGACUGGAGAUUUGUGAAUUAAAAAUAAAUCAGAGAAGGAAAUGAGAAUAAUAAAAAUUUUAGUUUUGAUCAAUAUAGUCAAAGGAAUUAUACCCUUAUCUCUUUAAUUUUUUUUCUCAGCCGUAGGAAGAUGUUUUGCUGGGAAGGGCAUUUCUAGUUUCCCUAUGACUAAACAUGUUGCAUCUUUGGAAUUUCAGACACAGCCAAGUUCAACUCAAUUAACCUGCACAGUAAUACAACCUGCAGAAGUUGAACUUUAAAUAGUCUUUAUCAUGACUAUAAUUAAAUAAGCAUGUGUAUAAUUUACUGCUGACAGCUUCUCUUCUAAAUUUCCCAGAAUGGGGACCAUAUAUGUAAUCCCCAGCAACCAGCAUACAGUCUAGAUCAUAACAGAUGCACAAUAAAUAUUUGUUAGAAGAAUUAAUGUGUGCACCUAGGACAGAGCCCAAGGGACUGCACAUAACAUUAAGGGAUGAGUAGAAAGGCUGAAAUGGUACAGGAAAGGGAGAAGAGCUGACACUUGAGCAUUUGCUAGGUGUCAGUGCUUCACAUUAGUCUCCCAAUGGGCUUGUGAUGCAAAGUAUUAGUACCUAUUUUUGGUUAGGAAAUAGGUGCAAAAGUUAGGUAACUUGCUUAAAUGGUGGGCCUGACAGCCUGGUUCUUCACCCAAAGAACUUACGUUUUACCCUCCUCAAAAUGAUUCUUUAUGUGGCUUUUAGCAUCAGUAUCUGUGCCUUGCUGUCAGACCCCAACCCCACCCCAGUCUGGAUUUCUUCAGAAACUCACUGCUUUCCUUCCUUACCACUUCCUCCUAAUGUCCUGCCAAGGUCAAGGUCACAUACAGGACAGUCAGUAUGUAGAACAUUGCAGACCACCUCUUACUCCCACUUGUGGUUUCUAAAUUCUUCCUUCCUUCUUUCUUCUUCCUUCUUCUCUCACCUAAAGACUUCAUUGCAGGGGAAUGAGGAAGUAGCCGUGUGGACCAACAGGAAGCCUCGCAUUUGCUGGCCCCUAGAAAUGUUUUCUGUUGGAUUUGUGCAAGUCUUUGUCUUUCUACCCCCUCCUUUGUGGAUCCAACAUACUAUGCAACUAGACCUUUGCCCUCCGCCUGGUUUGUCUGCGUCAGUCUGGCCCUCGAGCAAUUUUUGUUUCAAACCUCUCCAGCUGCCUAUUAGACCAGUAUUCUCUAACCAACUUCCUCCUUACAAAUGUUCCUGAACCAAUGGAAGCUGGUGGAUGAGAAACUGAAGAUAAAGUGGUGUGAAUUAGAAAAAUAAAAAUUCUUUAAAAGCUAGCAAAGUUGUAAAGGAAUAUUAUUGAAAGGGAGGGACACUGACAGGGAAGUAGGACCCAUCAGUAGAUAACUGCACAAUUAUAGAUUGUGCUAUUUGGAACUAUGGUACGCUCCCAAAGUUGAGCAGGUCAGGAGAGUAAAGCAACUAGAUAGUCCAGAAGGGGAGCAGAUAUGCCUCUCUUGGCCCCUUUGAACUCUGACUAACACUUUCUCAUGGUGCAAAAGCCUUGCCUCACAUUAAUGGACUGUUUUCAGACUAUGUUUCAUGGAGGAGUUACACCAUUACUUUAUUUACAACCCCUUAUAAUAUGGCUGGCUAGUUUGUUCUAGAAUGUUUCUGUCAACACAGAAUAGAAAUUUAGUUUUAAACCUAAACUUAGCAUUGAUUUUGGAUCCUUGGGACAAAGAUUUUGAAAUCAGCAGAGGCUUGAAGCAAGUAAGAACUUUCUUCUCUUCUGUCUGUUUCUCUUUACUGCCCUUUCUACCUCCCUGUGUAUGCUUCUCAGACCUUCUCAUUCAGGGGGUUGACUUCUCCACAUACUGUACUAUGGCAAAAUAGGUCUUGACAUGGCAUUUGGGGGGAUUAUUUGUGCCCUACUGGGUAUUUUCCUUUUACCUGGCACAGAGUAUAUGUUUGUAGAGUGAAUGAAUGAAAGAAUGAAAGCCUGUAAGUGUUCAUUUGGAACAGUUGGGGACUUCCCCAACUCCCAGUCCAGGUGAGAUCACCUCCUUACAUCACGAAUAGCACUUUUUAUAAACUGUGUUGUGCUGGAUUGUCAUUGUCAACUAAUUUUAACUGAACAGUAGUAGCUGUGCUUCCAACUCCUAGUUUAAAGCAUGGCACAGUGUCAGAGUUCAAUAAAUUUCUGUUGAAUCAAUAAAUACUACGCUUAUGUCAAAGACUUUUGGCUCUCAGAGGAAAAGCAAACAAAGCCUUGAAUUUACAGAACCAGGAUAUUGGAAGGAACAUUGAUAGGUCUUCAAGUACAUUUCCCUGUUUCCUGAUUGAGCCAUUCUUGGUAAUCAUCUACUUUGUUCCUGAACACCCACAAGAGGCUCCUUAACCAUACAAUUCACAGGAUUUUCAUAAGAAACCUCUAUCUGUAUUUACUUCCAAAGGACAAGAGACAUGGAAACCAUCAUUUUAUCUUUCUUUAAUUUCUUUUCUUAGGAAAAAGAAAGAACAAUCAAGCACGUCAAGGUUAUAAGUGGCUUCUGGGUCAAACACAGCCUAUGUAUGGGAAGUGUCCAGAUCCUGGCUUUGAGUGACAAUCAUGCUGCAGUUUAUCUAAAUCUUCAGUGUGAAGACAGAAUUCCAAACUUCUGUGGAACAAUAGACACUUGGAGUUCCUGCUCGCAAUAAUCUGUUCCAUAUAAAAUUUCAAAACCUCAAUUUCAAAUUUUCAAAAAUUCAAUUCCAAAUUUCAAAUACCUUUGAUUUUUUUCAAUUUGACAAAUAAUAGUUCAGUUUGAAUCCAGGGCCAGUUUCUCGUCAUCCACAGUGUCUGGAUGAGAUAGGUCAGUAGGUGUCACCACCUUCAUUUUAAAUUUAGAGACUGUAGACUGAAAGUUUGAAAAUCAGUAAUGAAAAAAGAAAACUAGAGCCUAGCAACUAGUCUUGAAUCUGUCCUAACUGAGAUAAGAGCAUUUUUUCCCCCCUGAAAACCUCUAUAUCUUACCCUAUGAAGUGUGGGGAUGUACUUGCAGGACACAUUGCCUUGUGAGCCAAUUGAAACUGGUGUUCCUGUGCUGAUCAUUGUUGUUCCAGUGAUCCUUGGAUCACUGCUGAUAUAAUGUCUGCAUGGAAAUACAUGUAGAACCAGAGAUGGAUAACAAACUAGGUCUUACUCCAUGCAAUCAUUGUGGAGAGCCAGAAAAGAGUCUCUUGGAAUCAGGAGGGCAUCUCUCUAGGGAUAUUCACAGUAGAAAAACCUAGGAUUUAAUCUAAUUCUUUUCCAAUGACCAUUAGAUCAUUAGAUGCUUGAAUCCUUCCCCCAGUUUGGUAAAAGGUGAAAGUCAUGGCUGAAAGCCUUAAAAUCUUGGUCUUUGCUGUACUUACCACUGAUCACCCAAUGCAUUCCAGCCUACUGUACUUUCAGUCCCCUGAAUCAGAGAUGUGGCCAGUAACAUUCAUCACCUGAUCAUGCACAUACUCCCUUCUGACAUGCCUGACAUUGCUGUGGAAAUCUAAGGUUGUUGGUGACGUUAGGAGGAAUGGUGGAGGGAGGACCUAAAAAACCUAUCCUUUAUAUAGCAAAAAGAACACUGGCAAUCAAAAUCACUUUUUCAGAACUCUGGAGAUCAACCAAAGGCUUGCCGUAAUCCAGAGAGGUUUUUGUUUUUUUCCUCCCAAGUAAAAUGAUUGAAUCUCAAAACAGUUAGCUUUGUGCUGUCUUAAUUCUCUAGUCAUAUUCCCCUCUCCUCAGACUCAUGAUAGCCUUGAAAAACAAUUCUGCAAUCACAAUAAAACUAGCAUCACAAGCCUAUGGACGGGGCAAAAUGAAGUUGGUACUCUCCCAAAGUCCAAUCCCCAGAUUAUUGUGAUUAUUUAACCUUUCAGUUCCUUACAAAAUCCAACUUGCAAGACACAUCUUCAUUUAACUGGACUCAGAUCUCACCCAGUACUACUUCUUUGGGAUCAACUGUUUAAGAUAGCCAACUGCCUAAGAUAGUCAACAGUUGGGGAAGAUAAGCUAAGCAAAAUUUAAAGGAAAAGCUUGGGAAUGAAAUGUCUAUAAGGGACUUUGAAAAGCUCUGACAUUCCUGGGAAUCUAGAAGUCCAGGCAUAUACCCAAGGUUGUGUUCAUGUCUGGAAAGGGCCUGGCAAGGACAAAAGCUCUCAUCUCUGGCUGAUCUUAAAACUCAACAGGAAGCAGGAAGGUGAACAUAGAGUUGUAAACUGCCUGCCUGAGCACUGAAGGCAAAGCCCACAGCACACACAUAGGGCUCUUGGCAAAGACUGGGACAUUUAUUGGUUCCAGGCACGUGAAAUUUAUGUCCAAACCAUAGUUGAUCAUCAAGUUAACUGAGAAAAGUCUUUAGUGGUGAAAUAUGACAAAAAAUGCAGACUAUGUAGAAUCAGUUAAGUCACUAAACAAACAAACAGCAACAAUAAUAAUAGCAACAGCUACACACAGAUAACAGCAAACCUUGGGGAAGGAGGAAGGUUUCUGUUUUCCAGAUUUGCCAUAUUAUUUAAAAUGUCCAUUUUUUUACAAAAAAUUGUGAAAAUGAGAAAUGAGAAAGUUCAUACACAGGAAAAAAGCAGUCAAUAGAAACUGUCCAGGAGGAAACCUAGAUGUUGGGCUUAUUAGACAGAGACUUUUAAUCAACUAUUUUAAAUAUGUUCAAAAAGCUAAAGGAAACCAUGUACAGAGAACUGAAGGAAAGUAUGAGAAUAAUGUCUCAUCAUAUAGAGAAUAACAAUAAAGAGAUUCAGGGCCUUCAAGAUGUGUGGGAGAUGAUCAAGAAUACCAAUAUAUGCACAGUGACAGUCACAGAAGGAGAGGAAACAGAUAAAGGAGAAAAAGAAUAUUUGAAGAAGUAGAAAACUUCCCAAUUAAUUAAUGAAAAACAUUAAUCUACACAUUCAAGAAGUUUAGUCAGCUCCAAAUAGGAUAAAUCAGAGAUCCACGCCUAAACACACCAUAAUCAAACUGUGGAAAGCUUAAGACAAUGAGAUAAUCUUGAAAGCAUCAAGAAAGAGGAAACUCACAUAUAAGGAAUUCUCAAGGAGAUUAUUAACUUCUUAUCAGAAACCAUGAAUGCCAGAAGGCAGUGAUCCGACAUACAUAUUUGAAGUGCUGAAAGGAAAAACUAUCAAUCAAGAAUUCUAUAUUUAGCAAAACUGUUUUUCAAAAAUUAAAGGACAUUACUGGAUGAACCAAAGGACAAAGCAGAUAAACAAAGACAGAAUUAUCUGCUAGCAGACCUUCCCUAUAAGAAACACUAAAAUAGCUCUUCAGACUAAUGAAAGAAUGCAAUAAUUCAACUCAAAUUCACACCAAGAAAUAAA